ACCUUGAAAUUGUACCAUUUGCCUUGCUAUUAAGGACAAAAAUAAUAUUAUACUCUUUAAAAAAAAAAAAAGACAUGUUUCUCUAGGAGGUACCCAGGAUGUGUGCCUUGAGCUUAUAUGAAAAUGGUAUUUGAAAAUUCGUUUUUACACGGGAUAUAAAUUUGGGAACAGUUAUUGACUUUAUAGAUGGAGUUACAGUGGAGUCCUUAGUGUGAAUGCUCUUAGUACAGUGCUUUUCAACCUGUGUUCUCCCUAGCCAUGCUAUGUAAGAAAAGAGUUCUGUGGAGAAAAAAAAAGGAGGGUCAGCUAACUGACCAUCUUGUCCCUGAAAAAGGGGCAGGGCCAUGAGUCAAGAUGUGGAAGAGAGAGCCCUUAGUUAGGAGAUCAUAGUAGUUUGAGUGAGCUUUAUUGACUUGAAGUGGAAUGUGGUCAUGUGUGAGCCAAGUUUCAGAAAUCCCCAAUAUUCCAUUCUACUCCAGCAUAAUUUAUGUAUUAAAGUAGCAAUCUGUGUUCUACAAACAAUGUUCCCAAUAUAACAUAAUUAUUGUUUUCCCUGACUUCCUCACCUGUCCUUACCCCCAAGAGUGUUGUGCCCAGCAUGUAUUGUUUCUUUUUGAAAGGUUUCUGGGGCCAAAUUAUUUUAGAAAAUGAAACCUUCAUAUGUUGAAAGAUGUAAUUUGUUUUAUAAAAAUUAGAUGAUACAUAAACUUCUAGAACACAUUUAUGGCAUAAAAGAGGUAUAUUGUAAAUUAAAUGAAGAUGGCAUUCUUUAUUCGUCAUCCAACAUAAGUCAUUACUUGAACUGGGUGAGUACCCAUUUUUUAUAGGAUUAUUCCCCUUACUUUCUUUCCCUCUCAUUAAUUAUAUACAGUUAAUCCCUUAAAAAUUUCAGCUGAAAUGCUAAGACAAAGAAGUUUAUCAAUGUUUAUAUUAAUAAACUUAUAGACAAUCACAUUUAAAAUUAUGGUUUACAUUGUUCUUGGUUAAAAUUAAUCUUUGCUAAGUAUAGGUAUGGUUUGUGGUAUUGCGUGAUUUCCCCAAAUACUUACAUGGAAAAAAAAAUUAUAGUCUUGAAUCGGAAAUACAAACAGAAGGUGUGAAUUAGAAGCAUUUUGAUAGAAUCUUGAUGUCAAGAUACAACAAAAUUCUAGGACAAAGUAAGAGCUAACACUAUUAGUUCUCUCCAAAUUUCAAUAUUAAGUAGAAUAUAUUGCCACUAUGUUAAUUCUAAGCCAGGAGAUUUAUUUCUGAAUUGUUUGAUGUGCCCUAGGUGAGCAUGAUGAUUUGGGCUAAUGUUGAGCAAUGCAGUAGAAAUUGCACCCUAAUAAUAUAGAGGGAGGAAAAGACAUUCCCAGACAUUAACAAGGACACUUUAAACCAGGAGAGGAAUAUAGUAGGACCAAAUUGAACUUAAACGAGAAGAAAGGUCUCUGUCAUGGGGACAGAAUGUAGAUUGACCAGUUUAUUUAACCAUACCUUAUGUCUGUAGAAUUUGUCAUUUUUUUCUAAAUCCUUAAUACCCUAUGCAAUUGGGAUGUAAUUGGGAGAUUUUAGUAAUAAGGCCAAAUAUGCUAUUCUGUGAUACAGAAAGUAUACACUUGUCGUGUGCAUAUUUGGCAUGUACUUUUGAGACCAUGUUUUCACCUUUUCUGCCCUCUUAAGUGUCAUACAAAGGUCCUGUUCCUGAAAUCUCUUUAAAAAAAUCAUUUAUCAGUCUUGUGUAAAACAUUUUGUAAUACAUUUGAUUGUAAAUUUAUAUGUGGUUUUUCUGCUUUAUUGUUACUACUGUAACAUGGUUGUUAUAAUAGGGCAUUGUAUAAUAAAAGUCUGUGCUGGCAAUUACAUCUAAUGCUGAUGAUUAACAAGAGAGACACCUUGUCAGAGACUGAGAAGUAGGAAAAGCUGGAAGAGGGGAAGGAAAAUGGAUGAAUCUACCUGGGAUUUAGUUGUUUAAGUAAGCAAUCUGCACUGGUUCUUUAAAUGAAAAAGCAAAAUAUGUAUCUACCUUAUAAAAAUGAUUUUUUGUAUUUUGUUUUUGUUUUAUUCAUG
ensembl:lncRNA